UUUAAUUGAAGAGUUUGAUCAUGGCUCAGAUUGAACGCUGGCGGCAGGCCUAACACAUGCAAGUCGAGCGGUAACAGAGAG
rnacentral:rRNA from 1 species